AGCAUAAAAAAGUCAUUUGAUCGUAAUUAUUGGCUGUUUAGGCUCAUAAUCCGAACCAAGGGUUAAUAAUUUUUAUAAUAAAAAGCUCUGAAGAUGAUUUUGUGGAUGGAAACUUUGAUUGAUUU